CCGCAGCCCUGGUGCCAGGGCUACUGCUCAUGCUGCUUAGAUGAAGGGCAGUCUGGAGGACAAAGCACUUAGCCUGGCAGUUAAAGGGAUGGAGAUCUAAACCAAGACUCAGUGCCCACCCGAGUGUUUAAACCCUUCCACCUAUUUUGGAUGGCAAGAGAUCUCGUAGCAUUCUCAGCACUUGGUAAAUCAGACGUCAGAGUUCAGAGCCCUUUCCAAGCAAAGUACCCAUUAGGGUUAAUGCAAAAACCUAAAGGCCAUCCAAAAAAAAAGCAGAAAAUCCCAAGACGUCUCAGUUUGCCUCAUUACAAAAUACUUUCUGAGGGAUCUUUUCAUCAACCAUUUCCUUACUAGAAAUUGUUUGACCUAAAACAAUUUUAAAACUUUUUAAGUCUUACAACAGCGUAAACCCUUUCUGAAACAAGUGAUUUUCAAUUGUGGGAUUUUUUAUCACUUUUAAAACCGUAUGCAGGCCCAACUUUAGUUAUCAUGGAUGCCACUCACAGAGGUCUGAGAGUCCCUCCAGGGGAGAAGUUCACCGAUCAUGGUGGUGAUAUGUGCGAUGCACAGCACUGCUGCUGCCUUUGAGUACGACUUCAACCUCGCCCCGACGAUCCCUCCAUUGCGGUGGCAUUCCCUCCUUAUCCAGCUGCCAAAAGGAGAUCUGAAAUGAACAUAAUAAACAUUCAUCAGC